GUGCUCACUUCGGCAGCACAUAUGCUAAAAUAAGAACGAUCCGGGGAGGAUUAGGGUGGCCCUGGUGCGAGGAUGACACACAAAUUCCUGAAGCGCUCCGUGUGAAA
ensembl:snRNA U6 U6 spliceosomal RNA